rnacentral:tRNA from 1 species
CGGGGCGUGGCGCAGUUUGGCUAGCGUGCUUGACUGGGGGUCAAGAGGUCGCGGGUUCAAGUCCCGCCGCCCCGA